rnacentral:rRNA from 1 species
GAUGAACGCUGGCGGCGUGCCUAAUACAUGCAAGUCGAGCGAACGGACGAGAAGCUUGCUUCUCUGAUGUUAGCGGCGGACGGGUGAGUAACACGUGGAUAACCUACCUAUAAGACUGGGAUAACUUCGGGAAACCGGAGCUAAUACCGGAUAAUAUUUUGAACCGCAUGGUUCAAAAGUGAAAGACGGUCUUGCUGUCACUUAAAGAUGGAUCCGCGCUGCAUUAGCUAGUUGGUAAGGUAACGGCUUACCAAGGCAACGAUGCAUAGCCGACCUGAGAGGGUGAUCGGCCACACUGGAACUGAGACACGGUCCAGACUCCUACGGGAGGCAGCAGUAGGGAAUCUUCCGCAAAGGGCGAAAGCCUGACGGAGCAACGCCGCGUGAGUGAUGAAGGUCUUCGGAUCGUAAAACUCUGUUAUUAGGGAAGAACAUAUGUGUAAGUAACUGUGCACAUCUUGACGGUACCUAAUCAGAAAGCCACGGCUAACUACGUG